rnacentral:rRNA from 1 species
UACGGAGGGUGCAAGCGUUAAUCGGAAUUACUGGGCGUAAAGGGUGCGUAGGUUGUUCAUUAAGUUAUAUGUAAAAUCCCUGGGCUCAACCUGGGCAGGUCAUAUAAUACUGAUGGGCUCGAGUAUUGGAGAGGGUAGUGGAAUUUCCGGUGUAGCGGUGAAAUGCGUAGAGAUCGGAAGGAACACCAGUGGCGAAGGCGGCUACCUGGCCAAAUACUGACACUGAGGCACGAAAGCGUGGGGAGCAAACAGG